UCCUACGGGCGGCUGCAGUGAGGAAUAUUGGUCAAUGGGCGCAAGCCUGAACCAGCAAUGCCGCGUGUGGGACGACGGGGCUUCGCCUUGUAAACCACUGUCGGAUGGGACGAGAGGGAGUAAGAACUCCUGGGACGGUACCAUCAAAGGAAGGGUCGGCUAACUACGUGCCAGCAGCCGCGGUAAUACGUAGGACCCAAGCGUUGUCCGGAUUUACUGGGUAUAAAGGGUGCGUAGGCGGUCUUGUGCGUCAGAGGUGAAAUAUCCGGGCUUAACCCGGAGGGUGCCUUUGAUACGGCAGGACUUGAGUGCGAGAGAGGAUGAUGGAAUUCCUGGUGUAGCGGUGAAAUGCGUAGAUAUCAGGAGGAACACCGGUGGCGAAGGCGGUCAUCUGGCUCGUAACUGACGCUGAGGCACGAAAGCGCGGGGAUCAAACAGGAUUAGAUACCCCGGUAGUCCA
rnacentral:rRNA from 1 species